rnacentral:rRNA from 1 species
AGAGUUUGAUCAUGGCUCAGAAUGAACGUUGGCGGCGUGGAUUAGGCAUGCAAGUCGAAUGAAUCCCGGGUAGCAAUAUCCGGGGGAAAUGGCGAAAGGGGCAGUAAUGUAUGGGUAACGUACCCGGGGGUCGUGGAUAGCCUUCCUAACGGAUGGGUAAUACACGGCGAUUCGGCGAGGGGACAUCCUCUUGCCGGGAAAGAAUUUCGCCUCCGGAGCGGCUCAUAUCGUAUUAGCUAGUUGGUGAGGUAACGGCUCACCAAGGCAAAGAUGCGUAGCGGGUGUGAGAGCACGACCCGCGCCACUGGCACUGAGACACUGGCCAGACACCUACGGGUGGCUGCAGUCGAGGAUCUUCGGCAAUGGGCGCAAGCCUGACCGAGCGACGCCGCGUGGAUGAUGAAGGCCUUCGGGUUGUAAAAUCCUGUCGAGGGGGAUCAAGCGCAAGUUGAGUGAUCCCUGGAGGAAGCACGGGCUAAGUUCGUGCCAGCAGCCGCGGUAAGACGAACCGUGCAAACGUUAUUCGGAAUCACUGGGCAUAAAGGGCGCGUAGGCGGCUCCAAAAGUCAGGGGUGAAAUCCGGCAGCUUAACUGUCGCAGUGCCUUUGAUACUGUGGAGCUAGAGGGAGGUAGGGGUCUGUGGAACUUCCGGUGGAGCGGUGAAAUGCGUUGAUAUCGGAAGGAACGCCGGUGGCGAAAGCGACGGACUGGAUCUCUUCUGACGCUGAGGCGCGAAAGCCAGGGGAGCAAACGGGAUUAGAUACCCUAGUAGUCC